rnacentral:rRNA from 1 species
GACGAACGCUGGCGGCGUGCCUAAUACAUGCAAGUAGAACGCUGAAGGAGGAGCUUGCUUCUCUGGAUGAGUUGCGAACGGGUGAGUAACGCGUAGGUAACCUGCCUGGUAGCGGGGGAUAACUAUUGGAAACGAUAGCUAAUACCGCAUAAGAGUAGAUGUUGCAUGACAUUUGCUUAAAAGGUGCAAUUGCAUCACUACCAGAUGGACCUGCGUUGUAUUAGCUAGUUGGUGGGGUAACGGCUUACCAAGGCGACGAUACAUAGCCGACCUGAGAGGGUGAUCGGCCACACUGGGACUGAGACACGGCCCAGACUCCUACGGGAGGCAGCAGUAGGGAAUCUUCGGCAAUGGACGGAAGUCUGACCGAGCAACGCCGCGUGAGUGAAGAAGGUUUUCGGAUCGUAAAGCUCAGUUGUAAGAGAAGAACGAGUGUGAGAGUGGAAAGUUCACACUGUGACGGUAUCUUACCAGAAAGGGACGGCUAACUACGUG